rnacentral:rRNA from 1 species
UACAGAGGUCUCAAGCGUUGUUCGGAUUCAUUGGGCGUAAAGGGUGCGUAGGCGGCUCGGUAAGCCGGGUGUGAAAUCUUGGAGCUUAACUCCGAAACUGCAUUCGAUACUGCCGUGCUUGAGGACUGGAGAGGAGACUGGAAUUUACGGUGUAGCGGUGAAAUGCGUAGAUAUCGUAAGGAAGACCAGUGGCGAAGGCGGGUCUCUGGACAGUGCCUGACGCUGAAGCACGAAGGCCAGGGGAGCAAACGGG